UCUGGCGAUGAUGAACUACUUGCCCUCACUGAGAACAAAGUUCGGUAAUGAGAGUCUUUGUUACGUUCUGAGCCAGA